AGAGAAGUGAAGAGAAGAGAGGUCUUGCAUGAGAGUUAGAGCCUUGUUUGGUAGCCAAGGAUGACUUGCCUGCUCUACCUAGAGAGACGAACUCCACUUGUUUGUAUGAGGAAAACUCCUGUUUGGCCAGGCAGGCAUCCCUGGCUAAUUUGACAGGCUCUUCUUUCUCAUGCCAGGCCUUCUCUUCUUCCUUGAGC
rnacentral:pre_miRNA from 1 species